GGAGGUUAUGUUGGGUUGGCGUGUCCAGGUUGUCGUCAUGUUGGGAUUGAGUGUUUGGUUCAGGUUGGAGGUUAUGUUGGGUUGGCGUGUCCAGGUUGUCGUCAUGUUGGGAUUGAGUGUUUGGUUCAGGUUGGAGGUUAUGUUGGGUUGGAGGGUCCAGGUUGUCGUCAUGUUGGGAUUGACUGUUUGGUUCAGGUUGGAGGUUAUGUUGGGUUGGCGGGUCCAGGUUGUCGUCAUGUUGGGAUUGAGUGUUUGGUUCAGGUUGGAGGUUAUGUUGGGUUGGAGGGUCCAGGUUGUCGUCAUGUUGGGAUUGAGUGUUUGGUUCAGGUUGGAGGUUAUGUUGGGUUGGAGGGUCCAGGUUGUCGUCAUGUUGGGAUUGAGUGUUUGGUUCAGGUUGGAGGUUAUGUUGGGUUGGAGUGUCCAGGUUGUCGUCAUGUUGGGAUUGAGUGUUUGGGUCAAGUUUGCAGUCGUGUUGAAGGGGACCGUUUGAGUCAGGUUCGUAGAUGCUGCAGUGGUGGUUGAUGUUGCUGUGGUAUUAGAUGCAGUGGUGUUUGGAGCAGCAGUGG